rnacentral:rRNA from 1 species
UGAACGCUAGCGGCAGGCCUAAUACAUGCAAGUCGAACGGAGUAGCAAUACUUAGUGGCAAACGGGUGCGUAACGCGUAAGCAACCUGCCUUCUACUGGGGGAUAGCCCGGCGAAAGCUGGGGUAAACCCGCACGGUCCAGUGUUUUCACCUGGUGAUACUGGUAAACAUUUAUGGGUAGAAGAGGGGCUUGCGUCUGAUUAGCUAGUUGGCGGGGUAACGGCCCACCAAGGCGAUGAUCAGUAGGGGUUCUGAGAGGAUUGGCCCCCACAUGGGUACUGAGAUACGGACCCAACUCCUACGGGAGGCAGCAGUAGGGAAUAUUGGGCAAUGGAGGCAACUCUGACCCAGCCAUGCCGCGUGCAGGAUGAAGGCGCUCAGCGUUGUAAACUGCUUUUAUCAGGGAAGAACUGUAGUCCUGCGGGAUUAUUUGACGGUACCUGAGGAAUAAGCACCGGCUAACUCC